rnacentral:misc_RNA from 1 species
GAAUGAGAUCGGUGGGCGAAAGCCUGCCAACCUCCACCCUUGUGUAUCAUUCACUUGUUGCUUUGGUGGGCCGCGAGCCUAACGGCGAGCACCGGCUUCGGCUGGGGAGUGCCUGCCAGAGGACCCUAAAACCUGAAUGUUAGUGUCGUCUGAGUACUAUACAAUAGUUA